CCUACGGGAGGCAGCAGUGAGGAAUAUUGGACAAUGGGCGCAAGCCUGAUCCAGCCAUGCCGCGUGCAGGAAGAAGCAUCUAUGGUGUGUAAACUGCUUUUGUACAGGAAGAAACACUCCCUCGUGAGGGAGCUUGACGGUACUGUAAGAAUAAGGACCGGCUAACUCCGUGCCAGCAGCCGCGGUAAUACGGAGGGUCCGAGCGUUAUCCGGAAUCAUUGGGUUUAAAGGGUCCGUAGGCGGUUUAAUAAGUCAGUGGUGAAAUCUGGUCGCUCAACGAUCAAACGGCCAUUGAUACUGUUAGACUUGAAUUAUAAGGAAGUAACUAGAAUAUGUAGUGUAGCGGUGAAAUGCUUAGAUAUUACAUGGAAUACCAAUUGCGAAGGCAGGUUACUACUUAUGGAUUGACGCUGAUGGACGAAAGCGUGGGGAGCGAACAGGAUUAGAUACCCUGGUAGUCCACGCCGUAAACGAUGGAUACUAGCUGUUCGGAGCAAUCUGAGUGNGUAGAGAAGUAGAUAAGUAUACCACCGUACGGGAGGUACGUUCGUCGAAGAAGAAGAAACGUAAACGAAAGUAAGUAGACGNGAGAGAGCGACGACGACGACGAGGAGGAGGAG
rnacentral:rRNA from 1 species